GGUGAGAUGGCCGAGCGGUCUAAGGCGCCAGACUAAGGAACGACCAGGACAAGGUGUUGUCCGUUCAAUCUGGUCUCUCCGGAGGCGCGAGUUCGAAUCUCGUUCUCAUCA